AUAAUCUUAGAGGUUUUUAGAUACCUUAGAUUGAUGUUUAAGGACACUUGUGUUGUGUUUCCUUACUGAAUUUCAUCAUUGGUGCUCUAACUUUGUGCUUUUAUGUAUUAAGCUUCUUAAGACAUCCACUUAUUAUAAUAAGAUGUACUUUGUGAGAUUAGAAGUAUUUUGUAAAAGAAAAGAAGUAAUUAAAGAUAAGAAAAGCUUAUUAAAGAGGUUAUCAGACUUGUGAGAAGUCUUAUAAGUAAAGUUGAGAGUGAUUGAAGAGUGUAAAUAAUAGUUCACUCAUUAAGAGGGCAUUCUGGUUUUCUAAGGCAGCAACAUCUUCUUGUUGAUUUUGAGAGUUCAUUCUUCUCUUUACUUGAUUUUCUUUGAUACACCCAUUUUUUAGAUAUGGCUGCAAGUGAUGGUGAGGAUUUGAAAGUAAUUGAAAAGUUUAGGGGUGACAAUUUUUACUAUUGGAAGAAAAAAAUGGAGCUCUUAUUGGCUUCAUUAGACCUUUGGAACAUUGUUGAUGAAAGUGAAAAACCUCCAAGUAACAAUACUGAUGUGAAGGUGAAGAAGGAGUACAAAUGAUGUGAAAGGAAGACUUUUGGCAUGAUUGCAAUAAAUCUUGAUGAUGCCAACUUUUCACAUGUAAUUGCUUGUACUAGAAUCUUCCAUUCUUUGCAACAUCUAUGAGAGUAGAAACCUUCUCAACAUUCUAUGGACAAGAAAGAAGUUCUUAACAAUAAAGAUGGAAGAAAGAGAUGACCUUAUGGCUCAUGUCAACAAGAUAAAAGCACUUGCAAAUCAACUAGCAGUUGUUGAUACACCAGUUGAUGAUAGAAAAAUUGUGUUGAUAUUAUUUUUGAGCCUUUCCAAGUCCUACAACUACCUCAUUGUGGCAUUGGAGUCCAUCAAUAUGAAAGAGCUUACUAUGAACUAUGUCACGUCAAGACUUGUCCAUGAAGUAAUCAAGAGAAAAAAAAAAAAGAGCAUCAAAGUGAGGAUUUGGUUCUAUUUUCAAGACAAAGUAAAGGUAGUUUUUUUCACCAAUAUGAUAAUUCAAAGAACAAUAUGAGAAAUUAUUAUAUUUAUAGAAAACCAAGUCACUUUGCUAGAAAUUGCUUCAAAGCCAAGAAAGGAAAUAGAGAGAAUGCAAACAAUGCUUGUGAUAAUAUUUGUGAAGAUGACUAUGCUUUCAUGGCAAGUUAAAGAGCCUCUAUAGCUGCAAUGUCUAAGUGGAUUAUAGAUUCACGUGCUACUAAGCACAUGACACCAUAUAAGUAUUUAUUUGAUACUUAUGAGGAAAUUCCAAGAACCAAAGUUUGGUUGGGAGACAAUGGCAUGGUACAAUCCAUUGGAAUUAGUUCAAUUGUUGUGGAGAUCGAUGUGAAGGACCAAAUCAAGAGGAUCAGAUUGAAGGAAGUCUUACAUGUACCAAAGAUGAAAAAGAACCUCUUUUUGGUGAACAAACUUGUAUCACAUGAUUGUAAGGUUUAAUUUGACAUGAAUAGAUGCUUUGUAAAGACAAUGGAUAGACAACAUGUUGCCAAAGGCCUUAGAGAUGAAAAUCUCUACUUCAUCAAUUGUAAGAAGGUGAAUGGAGUUGAAGUGGCUGCAUUUACUGAUUUUCCACAAGACCAAGACAAGUUUGAAAUCUAGCAUCAACGACUUGGUCAUUUGAAUGCCAAAUG
rnacentral:lncRNA from 1 species